UAUGCACGUGUACGUACGUAUAUGCCCUCUACGUAUGUAUACAGCCUGUAUAUGUAUAUGUGUACGUACGUAUAUUUAUGCCGGACGCUCCGACGCCAUCCUGUGUUUGCGUGCGUCCUCUCCUUGCGUCACCCUCGACCUACCAGCGUAAACAACCUUGGGCCCGGGAGCGUCCUGUCUAAACACGUGUAUUCAUUGGGCUUCUCCCUUGGGCAUGGCGUCUUGAAGGGGGCUUCUUCAUCUCCUUUCUCCGCGGCUGACCCCGCGAAGGUUAAAUCCCGCCGCCAUUUAACGGACACAAACACAUGCCACCCGAACCGUCUGACCUUAUCGCCUAGAGGUCACUUAUCUGAGCUCGACCCCGCCCGCGAGGCACAAGAUAGGCACUUCCGGUUUGAUAGUCGGUGAAAAUAGUCAGCUCUCAAGGUCAUCCGAGCUUCUGAAAGUCAUCCUCGUGGGCGGUAAAUUGAUGACUGGCAGACUAGAAGUAGCAACUUUGCCUGCAAGCGGAGAUAGGCAAGGCGAGACAGGCAGACGAGAGUGUUAUAAUGCUUUACAUAUGCUUGUGUGUCUGCUCGCUUUUGCUUAUUUUUAGAAUUGGCCCUGUAGGUUUGUGUGUGUGCGAUGAUACAAAUAGAUAUAAAUAGAUAAAUAAGGAAGUAGAAAAAAUAAAGAAAUAGAUAAAUGAAUAAAUGGGUAAAUAGAUAUAACGAAAUGAAUGAAUAUAUAAAUAAAUAGAGAAGAUAUAUGUAUAUGUGAGUGUUUCAAUGCAUAUAUUAGCACGUCUUUUUAGGCUCUAUAUCAGAGCUGCUGAACACGUGUAAUGCGGAGCCAAAAGUGCAUUCUUCGAGGCUAGAAUUAGCGUGUGGUUCUGACCCAGAGUUGUUUCUCCCCCCCCCCCCCCUUGUCAAGACCUCGAGGUAAAAAUGGCCUGCAAGGUUGAUAACCAUAUGUUUGAUUGUGAAAGACCCCAUUGACUUACCCCUUUGACAAUAUUCGUAAAUUUACGAGCUGAAAAAUAUUCCCAAAUCAUACAUUUCUACAGUAAACAGUUUACACAGAAUACAUUUAUUGCACAGGUCACUCGAAUAACUAUUCCCUAUUAACAGUGUUACUACAAUGGCAACGAAUGCGAAGCAGACUGAACACUUAAAAUCUCCAAGUCAUCCGAUUACUCUGAUACAUCUGUUAAUUAUUACAAUCUUAGAAUUUGCUUCCACAAGACAAAGAAAGUCUACAAAAUAUUGAAAAAAACAUUGAUUCUCAAGACCUCUUUUCCGUUGCCAAAAGUCGAAAAAUAUGAUAAACAAGUAUCACUGUUUCCACUGGCCUAGCACAUACUAAUUUUGCAGCUCGCCGUUUCAAGACAAAUGAAAUGGUGUAGACAAUACAAGUGGAAGUACAUCAAGAGACAUAAAAAACAUUAGAAAAGAAGACAAAUUUAAAACCAAGAAAAACAAAGAGAAAAGAAAAACGAGGGAGACAGAAGGACAGGAAGGAUAUGGGGCAGGAGGAAAACGAAAUGGAAAACACACACUCAGGAAGGAAGGAGGGUAGCUAAAGCAGGAAACAAAGGAGUAGAAGAGCAGAAAGGAAACCAGACACAAGAGGAAACUUGAGAAGGAAACAAAUGGACAGGAAGGAAAUGAGAGACAAACACAUUAAGAAAAUGAAGAAAACAAUUGAAACGGACGCUAACGAGAGAAACAGAAGAACAUAGUAAAUCGACAGAUGAGAAAAUGAGAGAGAAUAUCGAAGAAAAAGUCAGAAAAAACAACAACAUAAAAGUGCGCAAAAUUUCAGCCAUUUAACCUCCCGUCUAAAAGGCAACAGAAAACGGAAGAAGACCGCCAGGAAGUCAUCAGUAGCGCCGUCAACAACUUCCCGGGGUUAAAGUACGUAUGUGCAGGAUGACCUUGGUAUUAUACUGUCCCUGGCCCUGAGUGACCCUCUAGAUUUGCACAGUGAAAAGGAAGGGGCGCCAUACACUUAACAAGUUGUAAAAGGCUUCACUCUAUUGACAUGAGGUUAUAUAUGCCUAACCCAUGGGAAAUACAGUUUAUUUUAUUAUUACUUCAUAUUGAGAAUUAUGCCCCUCCGCAUCAUACGUAACUGACAUUAUUCAAACUGUUUUUGUAAAGAAAUUCCCAUAAAAUCGUGUACUAUACGAAGGGAUAUAAGUAAAGCAUGAUACCCUAUAAAUUGUCUCAAAAAAAAAAAAAAAAAAAAAAAAAAAAAAAAAAAAAAAAAAACAA